UCGAGAAUCAUUCACAAUGGGGGCAACCCUGAUGGUGCGACGCCGCGUGGAGGAUAAGGUCUUCGGAUUGUAAACUCCUGUCAUGCGAGAGCAAGAUUUGAGCGGGUAACUCCGCUGAAUUUGAUAGUAUCGCAAGAGGAAGAGACGGCUAACUCUGUGCCAGCAGCCGCGGUAAUACAGAGGUCUCAAGCGUUGUUCGGAAUCACUGGGCGUAAAGGGUGCGUAGGUGGCGUGGAAAGUCAGAUGUGAAAUCCGGGGGCUCAACCUCCGAAUAGCAUCCGAUACUCCCAUGCUAGAGAACUGGAGGGGGAUCUGGAAUUCUCGGUGUAGCAGUGAAAUGCGUAGAUAUCGAGAGGAACACUAGUGGCGAAGGCGAGAUCCUGGACAGUAUCUGACACUGAUGCACGAAGGUCAGGGGAGCAAACG
rnacentral:rRNA from 1 species